rnacentral:ncRNA from 1 species
CGAGCCGCGGCGGGAGAGUCUCCGCACAGGAGCACCGAAGGAGCAAGCCUCCCCGCAAUCUCUCAGGUACAGCUACCGCCGUGGCCAG